UGAGUUGAGAAUUUUUGAGUAAUAGGUAUAUGGGGACUAAGUAUUCUAUUCUUCAUACUUUUACAUGCCGUAAAUCCCCACUUAUCUGCAGGGAAUGUGUUCCAAGACCCCCAGUGGAUGCCUGAAACUGAGAAUAGUACUGGACCCUGUAUAUACUGUGUUUUUUCUUUCCUUAUUGAGAACUUUUAUGUUUUCACUUAAAGGAAGGACUUUACAGCUUCUCUUUCGCAUAUCCAAAUUGCCAGCAUCACCGCUCUUGCACUCCAAGCCAUUAUUAAGUAAAGUAAAGAACACAAACACUGUGAUACUGCUACACUUGAUCUGAUAACCAAGAAGUCUACUAAGUGACUAACAGCAGAGCAACUGGGAACCUAAUUCUGACCAAAAAGGAGGAAUUGUUUGGCUAAUUGGAAGUGACAGAAACCUUGGGAGAAAGCAACCGCAUACCAAGGAUAAUUAUAAGAAGAGAAGACAUGGAGAAGAGGAGGGAGUAGUUGUGACCGUGGAGGCAGAGAAUGGAGUAAUGUGAUCAUAAAUCAAGGAAUGCUGACAGCCACUAAAGCUGGAGAAGGCCAAGGACAGAUAUUCAAUCCUCCCGUAGAAGUACAGCCCUGCUAAUGCAUUGAUUUUGGACUUCUGGCCUCAGAACUAUUUAUAUAUCAGCUUUUUAUCAGUUGAAAUAAACCACCCUGGGCCGGGUGCAGUGGCUCACACCUGUAAUCCCAGCACUUUGGGAGGCCGAGGCAGGUAGAUCAUUUGAGGUCAGGAGUUCAAGGCCAGCCUGACCAAC
rnacentral:lncRNA from 10 species